ACAGCAUUGGCUUAGUACCGGUA
rnacentral:miRNA from 1 species